GCCAGCAUAGCUCAGUUGGUAGAGCAGGGCUUUUGUAAAGCUCAGGUCGUGGGUUCGAGUCCCUCUGCUGGCU
rnacentral:tRNA from 8 species